UGGGGAAUAUUGGACAAUGGGCGAAAGCCUGAUCCAGCCAUGCCGCGUGUGUGAAGAAGGUCUUCGGAUUGUAAAGCACUUUAAGUUGGGAGGAAGGGUUGUAGAUUAAUACUCUGCAAUUUUGACGUUACCGACAGAAUAAGCACCGGCUAACUCUGUGCCAGCAGCCGCGGUAAUACAGAGGGUGCAAGCGUUAAUCGGAAUUAUUGGGCGUAAAGCGCGCGUAGGUGGUUUGUUAAGUUGGAUGUGAAAUCCCCGGGCUCAACCUGGGAACUGCAUCCAAAACUGGCAAGCUAGAGUAUGGUAGAGGGUGGUGGAAUUUCCUGUGUAGCGGUGAAAUGCGUAGAUAUAGGAAGGAACACCAGUGGCGAAGGCGACCACCUGGACUGAUACUGACACUGAGGUGCGAAAGCGUGGGGAGCAAACAGGAUUAGAUACCCCAGUAGUCCCUGAGCGGGCUGGCAAGGCGCAU
rnacentral:rRNA from 1 species